UACGAAGGGGGCUAGCGUUGCUCGGAAUCACUGGGCGUAAAGGGUGCGUAGGCGGGGCUUUAAGUCCGGGGUGAAAUCCUGGAGCUCAACUCCAGAACUGCCUUUGAUACUGAAGAUCUUGAGUUCGGGAGAGGUGAGUGGAACUGCGAGUGUAGAGGUGAAAUUCGUAGAUAUUCGCAAGAACACCAGUGGCGAAGGCGGCUCACUGGCCCGAUACUGACGCUGAGGUGCGAAAGCGUGGGGAGCAAACAGG
rnacentral:rRNA from 1 species